rnacentral:rRNA from 1 species
CGACCGGCGCACGGUGAGUAACACGUAUCCAACCUACCCGUUUACUCGGGGAUAGACCUUUCGAAAGAAAGAUUAAUACCCGAUAGUAUAAUGAUUCCGCAUGGUUUCAUUAUUAAAGGAUCCGGUAAAGGAUGGGGAUGCGUUCCAUUAGGUUGUUGGCGGGGUAACGGCCCACCAAGCCUUCGAUGGAUAGGGGUUCUGAGAGGAAGGUCCCCCACAUUGGAACUGAGACACGGUCCAAACUCCUACGGGAGGCAGCAUG